rnacentral:hammerhead_ribozyme from 15 species
AACAAGUUGAGAGCUAAUGUCGCUCUUCUGAUGAGGUCCUGACAGGCCGAAACCAAUUGUC